UACGAAGGGUGCAAGCGUUACUCGGAAUUACUGGGCGUAAAGCGUGCGCAGGCGGUGAUGUAAGACAGGUGUGAAAUCCCCGGGCUUAACCUGGGAACCGCAUUUGUGACUGCAUCGCUGGAGUGCGGCAGAGGGGGAUGGAAUUCCGCGUGUAGCAGUGAAAUGCGUAGAGAUCUGGAGGAACACCGAUGGCGAAGGCAGCCUUCUGGGCCAACACUGACGCUCAUGCACGAAAGCGUGGGGAGCAAACAGG
rnacentral:rRNA from 1 species